UGCCUACGGGGCGCAGCAGUGGGGAAUAUUGCACAAUGGGGGAAACCCUGAUGCAGCGACGCCGCGUGAAGGACGAAGUAUUUCGGUACGUAAACUUCUAUCAGCAGGGAAGAAAAUGACGGUACCCGACCAAGAAGCCCCGGCUAACUACGUGCCAGCAGCCGCGGUAAUACGUAGGGGGCAAGCGUUAUCCGGAUUUACUGGGUGUAAAGGGAGCGUAGACGGCCGUGCAAGUCUGAUGUGAAAACCCGGGGCUCAACCCCGGGACUGCAUUGGAUACUGUGCAGCUAGAGUGCGGGAGAGGU
rnacentral:rRNA from 1 species